UGCCUUCAGCAACUGGUACGGUAAGAUGCAUGUGCGUCCUCCCAAUCCCGAUACUCACGAUGGUCAUCCGCCGCCACCGCCGCAUGAGCCGCCUCCAGGCCCAGGAGGGCCGCCUCCGCCCCACAAGUCACAUCCCGCGACUCCAUGAGACCGCGACGGCAUCACAGCGAGGCUGUGACUUUGCCACUUCUUUACACAGCUGCACCACCACCUCCGACACGUUGCUCCUGGAGGUUUUGAGCUUACGGUGCGGAGGUUUGCGAGUUGCGACGGUUGCGGACUGUCAUCUACAGAUCUACUCAUCUUUUUCAUCCAUGUAUAAUUAUUUUAAUUGAUUUAAAUUAUAGUUUUAUUCAAUUUAUUUAAAUUAUAGUUUUACAAUUAUUGUAAUGAAAACAUUUGGUGAAAUGAUAAUAUUUGAAAAUA